rnacentral:lncRNA from 1 species
UCUGGUUCAUUAGCUAUAUAAAGGCAAAAUCAAUCGCUUUCGAUAUAUUACACAGCGUUCUGCCCGCUUUACAUUUUAAAUAGUCAACACUUUUGAGUGUUCAUAGAAUCGUAAAUAAUUAUAUUUUUUUUUAAAUGAUGGCAAAAUUGCACUAUUGUGUGAAAUAGCUUUCCUUAUUAUCGGCAUCCUGUCAAAUAGUUCAUGAAAAAUAAUAAUU